GGGGAGCAGGGUUUUACACUGUCCCUCUACCAUAUAAGCCGCCGCAACAGUCCUCCCUGUUUGCUGCAAAAGUAGAUGAAGAAUUUCAGAAAGAAAAGUAGAAAACAAAUUGGAAGAAGAAGAUUUGGAAGCUUACAUUAUGUCGGCGCCUAAAAUUAAACCUUUUAGAAAUGUUAUGUAAAUUAGAGUUUUGAUCUAAAUAAGGUUUGCAGUUGGUGCCAUUUUUUUCCACUAGACUUGACUCGGAGUGAUGGGAUGAAGAUCUUGAAGAUACCGAAUCCCAUGAGUCCCGAUUCCGCCAAUGUAUGAGGAGAGGACUGAGAAGCAGAAAUCGGGGUUUCAUUUUUGCUCCAUACCCUCCAUUUCCAUUUUUUGAUUACUUGAUUGUGGACUUAUGGUAAGGGUCCAUCGAGAGAGAAGCAGCGUGGAAUGCAACAUGGUACAAUUAAUUUUGUAAGUUUUAUCAUAUUUCAGUUUCUUUGAUUUCUUCAGAUUUCUUUUAAUUUAUUUAGGGAAAUUAGUUAGGGUUUGUUCUCUAAAACCAGAUACAUGCAUUGUUUACUGGUUGGUUCAUACACUGUCUUGAGAAACUAAGAAAUUUCUUAUUACACACUGAUAUAAUAUAACAAUUUAAUAGUCAUUAAUUAUUACACACAUUAAUGCACCAGACAAACUAUCUUACGAAAACACACACAUUUUAAGUAACCAAAUGUUCUAAAAGCAUAUAAAAAACUAAAAAAAUAACAUCAAUUAUCAAACCACUUCUGAAGAAAAUCACAUACGAAUUCAUUUGAACAAUCACAUCUCUUGGUAUUAGAAAUUAGGAUACUGAUGAAGUCAAGGGCCAGUAGGUGGUUCAGGGGAUUGUGAUUUCUUUGGUGGAGGUAACUGUGGUGAUGAGGGACUGUUGAUUGAACUAGGUUUAUCAUCUGUUUGUGUUUUGGUUGGUGUAGGUUUUGAAUAGUUUUGAGCCAGUGGGGUUUCUUCUGGGCUUUUAGUUUCUGACCUUUCCAGUUCAUCUAAGGGUCUAGGAUAAUUUUCUUGGGAAAGAAGUGCAACUUCAGAUGUUUUAAAAAUGUUUUGUCUAACUAUUUGUUCGGUAGAUGUUUGUGCAGGUUUGGUAUCUCGAGAAUUGUUAGAUGGAUUUGAUUUCAAAGAAGGUGUUCUUGAUGAGGAAUCAAUUGGAAGCUUGAAGGGUUGAUUGACUUCAUUUUGUGGAGUGGGUAAAGUAG
rnacentral:lncRNA from 1 species